CCGUUCAGGGGUAAAACGAGUGGAACGCCAAAGAUUCGAAAGAGAGAAUUCACGUCCGAGAGAUUGUCGGUGGCCGACCGCGAUCCUACCUGGCACUGACAGGGAAGACGCGGUCUCAGCCAUGCGGAUGUACUCUCGGUCAGCAGUUUUUCUUUAGUAGGACGCCACGACCGUUCGGAGACCGAGAUCAACGGCCCGGCAGGGAAUCUGCAUGUCUUCUCCGGAAGCAGCAGACCUCCGGUGCCCUGGUCUCGGUCCGAACGUAGUACCGUGGGGAUACCCCGCGCACGGCGCGCCCCGCUCCUUAGCGCAACACUUGGUGUUCUCUGAACUGGGCUAUGAACCUACACAGAGUAAAAAACCUCGAGUUGACGACUUUGCGAGUAUGGGGCUUUAGGUGGUGGACCCCGGUCCGCGGUGC
rnacentral:rRNA from 1 species